GAAAGUUGCGUUAGACUCGGAUCCUGUCUCCAAUGGUAAAAGCUUACAUUCUGCAAUGCACACAGAAAUCUUGGUCCCCCUCUCCCUCCCUUCUCUCUCCUCUAUUCUAAAAAGCAAAAGCUCUUUCGCCAAUGAAUAACUGCGACUGUUAAUUACUGCUAGCCAAAUUUCCCCCCCCUCUCUCUCUCUCUCUAGGGAUAUGGAUGACUAUGGACCUCCAGAUCUCCGGCAUCUGAUGGCCUCAAAAACCCAGUUUUGUAAGCCCUUACAAUUCCCAGAGCAAUUUUCAGUACACCACAAUCUCACGCCUCCACCGCCACCGCCGCCCCAUUAUCAUCACCACCCCAUAUUGGUAGGCAGUGAGAUUGUUGCAGCUGCUGGCUUGCUCGACCAUCAUCGUUAUACUAGUAUGAUCACUACAACUGCUUGUCAUCCUAGUAUUACUAUUAGUAGUAAUACUUCUGCUGCUGCUGCGAUAUAUGGGAUAGAGUUGGAGCAUGGAUGGAAUAAUAUUGAUGGAGCAACUAAUAAUAAUAGUAGGUGGCCAAGACAAGAAACUCUUACUCUUUUAGAGAUUAGAUCUGCUCUUGAUUCCAAGUUCAAGGAGACUAAUCAGAAAGGACCCCUGUGGGAUGAAGUCUCUAGGAUAAUGGCUGAGGAACAUGGAUUCCAGAGAUCUGGGAAGAAAUGCAAAGAAAAGUUUGAGAACUUGUACAAGUACUACAAGAAAACCAAGGAAGGGAAAUCUGGGAGGCAAGAUGGGAAGCACUAUAGGUUCUUUCGUCAGCUUGAAGCAAUUUAUGGAGAUCAUCAUCAAAGUAGCAAUCAGUCCUCCAUUUACGGUAGAUCAAACCCUCUUCUUUGUCACCCUACUCCAAGUGGCAGUUUUGACCGAGAUCAAAACCAAGAAGAAGUAGUUGUGCAAGACCAAAAGAUUAUAAGCUGCGAGAGCCUUAGUUCCAAUAACUCAACUGAAUUUGAUCAAAACCCACCCUCGGAGAACAUCGACGACAAUGAGUCACUUUCAGCUAUUGAUUAUUUCAUGAUGAAACAGUCAAUGGAGAGCCAUAAGAAUGAGAAUAAAAGUUAUGCGACCCAGGUAAAGAAGAAAUGGAAAGCAAAGGUGGAGGAGUUUGUGAGCUCACAAAUGGGGAAGGUAAUAAAGACCCAGGAGGAAUUGAUGGAGAAGAUGGUAAAGAGUAUUGAAGAUAGUGCGGAUGAGAGGAUAGCUAAGGAAGAAGAAUGGAGGAAGCAAGAGGCGGCCAUGUAUGAGCGAGAAGUGCACGAGUUUUGGGCUAAGGAGAGAGCAUGGGUUGAAACUCGAGAUGCGGCGAUAAUGGAGGCUCUAAGCAAAUAUACAGGCCAAGGAGCUUACAACAACAAUGGCAAGGACGAUAUUGCAAAAGAAACUGGUAAUGAUAACAGAAAGAAUUAUCCUAGAUGGACUGAGCAUGAAGUUGCAAGUUUAAUACAGCUGAGGACUAGCUCGGAACUCACAUCCCAAGAAAGUGAGUAUCUGAAGGAGGAGGGCGUGUGGAAGGAGAUAGCUGCAAAAAUGGGUAGUUUGGGCUACACAAGGAAUGGAGGGGAGUGUAAAGAGAAAUGGGAGAAUAUAAGUGUUUGUUUUAGAAUGACAACAGAAUGGAACAAGAUGCACAAACAAGAAACGAAGACUAAUAACAUGUACUUUAGUCAGAUGUCUUGUUAUGAAGAAGGCCAGGAAGUUUGGAAUCAAAGACAGGAUGGGAUGGGAGUUCAACAAAUGGAUGAGGGACUUUCACCAUCGUGUUGUAAUAUGGAUGUGAACUCUAGCUCGUUGCACAUUCCAUUUAAUGGAGGAGAAAAUCUGUGGGAUGAGAGAUACUCUCAUGCAACCAACUCACCACGUGACAACCGUUAAUUGGACAGGUGAUGCAUUUUUUGAACACGUGACACACAUCUAUUAUACUGGUGAAAAAGAACCAGUAUGGAACUGUGAAGCUCAUCAGCAAGGGGAAAAGAACCAGUACUAAGUUUAGAGCAAGUAGAAUAGUAGAGACACAUUGGUCAUCAGACACUGAGUUACUGACAGUAAAGUCAUGCAUGGAUUCAUGGCAGCACGUACCUUCACACCAUUUGUAAGUAAAUAAAUUUUGUUUAUUUACUGGGUAACUGAAGCCAUACGUUACCCGGGCAGGGGAACACCAACGGUAAAAACCGUCCUUUCAUGGAGAUCAGAUCAGCAGCUCGCCCAAGCUGGGUCAGCCGCAUGAACCCUUUGAUAUGUAUGUACGUAACGCAGAUACCAAGAAUUCUGCAGAAUUUUUCUAUUACCAUUAGAAUCCCAGGUAGUAACAAAAUAAGCUUUAGAUUUAUCUUACCAGGAGGCAGGAGCUAAAAGGGAUUCUUCA